rnacentral:rRNA from 1 species
AACGAACGCUGGCGGCAUGCCUAACACAUGCAAGUCGAACGAACCCUUCGGGGUUAGUGGCGCACGGGUGCGUAACACGUGGAAUCUGCCCUUUGCUUCGGAAUAACAGUUAGAAAUGACUGCUAAUACCGGAUGAUGUCGUAAGACCAAAGAUUUAUCGGCAAAGGAUGAGCCCGCGUAGGAUUAGGUAGUUGGUGGGGUAAAAGGCCUACCAAGCCGACGAUCCUUAGCUGGUCUGAGAGGAUGAUCAGCCACACUGGGACUGAGACACGGCCCAGACUCCUACGGGAGGCAGCAGUGGGGAAUAUUGGACAAUGGGCGAAAGACCUGAUCCAGCAAUGCCGCGUGAGUGAUGAAGGCCUCGUGUAG